AACAAAAAUUUUAUUUUUCUUCUUCCGGAUCAAGUUGAUCCGGAUCUUCCGGAUCAACUUGAUCCGUAAGAGACUUCCGGAUUAAGUUGAUCCAGAAGUUACGGAUCAAGUUAAUCCAGAAGAGACUUUCGGAUCAACUGAUCCGGAAGAGGAAAAUUAAGCAAGGAUAAUUUU
rnacentral:pre_miRNA from 1 species